AUGCUCGACAGGCUGUGGUGCGCUGAUAGACUGCAAAGGCGUGGGUGGCCGAAUUAUUACUUCUGCCCACUGUGCGUUCGAAACCUUGAAACCUCAGUGCACCUUCUCUGGCAAUGCCCGAUGGCACGGGCGACCUGGGCUGCUGCGGCGCAAUGGCACGGCUGCGCCGCCCUCGCUCCAAGCUCAUGGCCAGAGGGGGACAAAUCAGAGAUCUUCUGGGCACACAUCAUCGACAGCACCCAGGCUGAGCAUCGGAAAGGAAUCAGGUCGCUCACAAUGCUCAUUGCAUGGGAGUUGUGGCUGGAGAGGAACCGAAGAGUUUUUCAGAAGAAAAUCGCUGAGCCAGGGGCCAUCAUCCAGACAGUGCGGGGAUCCGUGGAGGCUUGGAGGAUGGCGGGAGCAAAAUGUCUGCAGCACCCUUUCGAGGAUCCGAUGUGA
rnacentral:rRNA from 1 species